rnacentral:rRNA from 1 species
CCUACGGGUGGCAGCAGUGAGGAAUAUUGGUCAAUGGACGAGAGUCUGAACCAGCCAAGUAGCGUGAAGGAUGACUGCCCUAUGGGUUGUAAACUUCUUUUAUAUGGGAAUAAAACGUUCCACGUGUGGGAUUUUGUAUGUACCAUAUGACUAAGGAUCGGCUAACUCCGUGCCAGCAGCCGCGGUAAUACGGAGGAUCCGAGCGUUAUCCGGAUUUAUUGGGUUUAAAGGGAGCGUAGGUGGAUUGUUAAGUCAGUUGUGAAAGUUUGCGGCUCAACCGUAAAAUUGCAGUUGAAACUGGCAGUCUUGAGUACAGUAGAGGUGGGCGGAAUUCGUGGUGUAGCGGUGAAAUGCUUAGAGAUCACGAAGAACUCCGAUUGCGAAGGCAGUUCACUGGACUGCAACUGACACUGAGGCUCGAAAGUGUGGGUAUCAAACAGGAUUAGAUACCCCUGUAGUC